GGCCUCGUGGUGUAGUGGUAACACAUCUUCAAUUAAUCUUCCACAAUUGUCUGAUAUUUGAGGAAGUCCCUUGUUCGAAUCAAGGCGAGGCCA